rnacentral:rRNA from 1 species
AUUGAACGCUGGCGGCAUGCUUUACACAUGCCAGUCGAACGGUAACAGGCCUUCGGGUGCUGACGAGUGGCGAACGGGUGAGUAAUGCAUCGGAACGUACCCAGAGGUGGGGGAUAACGCAGCGAAAGCUGUGCUAAUACCGCAUGUGAUCUGAGGAUGAAAGCGGGGGACCGAGCAGCAAUGUUUGGCCUCGCGCCUUUGGAGCGGCCGAUGUCGGAUUAGCUAGUUGGUGGGGUAAAGGCCUACCAAGGCGACUAUCCGUAGCUGGUCUGAGAGUACGACCAGCCACACUGAGACUGAGACACGGCCCAGACUCCUACGGUGGGCAGCAGUGGGGAAUUUUGGACAAUGGGCGCAAGCCUUGUCCAGCAAUGCCGCGUGCGGGAAGAAGGCCUUCGGGUUGUAAACCGCUUUUGGCAGGAACGAAACGGUGUCCGCUAAUACCGGGCGCUAAUGACGGUACCUGCAGAAUAAGCACCGGCUAACUACGUG